AUUGAACGCUGGCGGCAUGCCUUACACAUGCAAGUCGAACGGCAGCGGACCUUCGGGUGCCGGCGAGUGGCGAACGGGUGAGUAAUGCAUCGGAACGUGCCAUUGAGUGGGGGAUAACGUAGCGAAAGUUGCGCUAAUACCGCAUAUUCUGUGAGCAGGAAAGCAGGGGACCGCAAGGCCUUGCGCUCUUUGAGCGGCCGAUGUCAGAUUAGCUAGUUGGUGAGGUAACGGCUUACCAAGGCGACGAUCUGUAGCGGGUCUGAGAGGAUGAUCCGCCACACUGGAACUGAGACACGGUCCAGACUCCUACGGGAGGCAGCAGUGGGGAAUUUUGGACAAUGGGGGGCAACCCUGAUCCAGCCAUGCCGCGUGAGUGAAGAAGGCC
rnacentral:rRNA from 1 species